rnacentral:misc_RNA from 1 species
AACGAGGCCGACCUGCGGCUGAGUUACCUGCGGAGGGAUCAUUACACAAUAAACAUAUGAAGGCUGCACCGCCAACAGGCGGCAAGGCUGGAGUAUUUUAUUACCCUUGUCUUUUGCGCACUUGUUGUUUCCUGGGCGGGUUCGCCCGCCUCCAGGACCACAUGAUAAACCUUUUUUAUGCAGUUGCAAUCAGCGUCAGUACAACAAAUGUAAAUCAUUUACAACUUUUAACAACGGAUC